AAAGGGGACGGAGGGAAUCAAGUCAUUUCUGGCCCGACUGUGCCGGAUACGACUUGAUUCCCUCCGUCCCCUUU
rnacentral:ncRNA from 3 species